rnacentral:rRNA from 1 species
UACGUAGGGUGCAAGCGUUACUCGGAAUUACUGGGCGUAAAGCGUGCGCAGGCGGUUCUGCAAGUCAGAUGUGAAAUCCCCGGGCUUAACCUGGGAACUGCGUUUGAAACUACGGAGCUAGAGUGCGGCAGAGGGGGGUGGAAUUCCACGUGUAGCAGUGAAAUGCGUAGAUAUGCGGAGGAACACCGAUGGCGAAGGCAAUCCCCUGGGCCUGCACUGACGCUCAUGCACGAAAGCGUGGGGAGCAAACAGG